UGAGUUUUGCCUUGGCUUCCUUGGUGUC
rnacentral:piRNA from 1 species